rnacentral:misc_RNA from 1 species
UACAGAGGGUGCGAGCGUUAAUCGGAUUUACUGGGCGUAAAGCGUGCGUAGGCGGCUUUUUAAGUCGGAUGUGAAAUCCCCGAGCUUAACUUGGGAAUUGCAUUCGAUACUGGGAAGCUAGAGCAUUGGAGAGGGUAGCAGAAUUCACGGUGUAGCAGUGAAAUGCGUAGAGAUCUGGAGGAAUACCGAUGGCGAAGGCAGCCAUCUGGCCUAAUACUGACGCUGAGGUACGGAAGCAUGGGGAGCAAACAGG